AGUAUGCGUACGUACAAAGGCGGUCGUCAAAAGUGCACCGGGCAUUAAAACCAUCGAACAUGAAGCGUAUUAGUAACAAACAACUACGAAUAGAAAUAAUAGUUGGCGAUAUAUUGUAUGUGGCCGGUGCCGCUUCUAUAAUGGCGGCGUCCGCGUAUUGCAACAUUUGUCCUACAUCCAGGUCAUUGCUAUGCGAGAGCAGCAGCAGCAGCAGCAGCAACAUUCUCCUCAUUGAAAUCGAAUGGACUAUACAGGGUGAGUUUUGUCUAGGAUCUAUGAAAGGAGUGAUAUGAUAAAGCAAACAGCGGUGUCCAAACACCCAAGCAACACACGAUAGUUCAUUUUUGGUUUACACCAGGUGUACGUGUUUGGUUGAACUUCAACUGUAAAUAUCGGAUAAAAUUACUUAAAAGUGCCUCUUGCAGAGGUUUUUUAUAAUCGAGAUGCAUUGUUAUGUGCUAACUUCACCUAAAUCAUAGGUAUAAUUGUUUUGUACUUUUUGAUAUUUGCAAAUAAAUGUUUUGAAAUUGAAAA